rnacentral:lncRNA from 1 species
GAGAGUAUUGGCGAUCAGUCGUUGUUGUGCAGUGAUGAACAAUUAUCACAUAUUGGAACCAUCUAUCUGGCUACUCUCAAUCAUACAAUUGUAUUAUUAAGCUGCUAUUCAUUACUACAGGUAAGAGAUUAUUUUUCUUUUAUUACUUAUCAAUGUUAGCAUUAUUUUAGACAUUUCCCCUUACCUUGCUCUGUACCUUUGUAAUGAUUUUUUACUUAUCAAUUUGAGCAUUAUUUCAAACAUUUGCCCUUCUUCGUUCUGUACGUUUGUAAUGACUUUUUUACUUAUCAAUUUGAGCAUUAUUUCAAACAUUUUGUCCUUACUUUGUCCUGGACUUUAGUAAUGAUUUUUUUAUUAUUCAUUAUUUGUAAAAAUUUGCUUUCUUUAAAACAAUUCGUUGACAUAAUAUGGAAAUAACAUGACAUCUGUUUUAAUAGUAUGAUUGAUAGCAUAAUAAAUAAUCUCACUCUUAAGUUUGACGACAGCGGUCCACUUUUUAAAGUGGAUUGUUCUUUACAUAACAGCAAAAGAAAAAAAAGAUUUACAUAUUUUUCUACAAUUGGAAAAAAUAUUAUUUUGUAUUUGUUAUCUCUGUAAUAUAUUGCCGAUUAGAGUUUUUUAACGUUGAAGUAACCUUGCAAACUGCAUAAUUUGAGUGUUGCAAAAUUUUAAUGUAAAAAAUCUAUCAUAAUGUCUUGAAUUAAAAAGAAAUUGAAUGUAUCUAAUUAUUUGAAAAAGUCCGAAUUCUAUUAAAAAUCAAGCAAAUAAAAGAAUAGCAUUUCCGUUCUUUUUAUAGUAUAAAGUAAAGUCACAAACAUACCGAACUCCGAGGAAAAUUCGAAACGGAAAGUCUCUAAUGAAAUGACAAAACCCAAAGCUCAAACACAUCAAACGAAUGGAUAACAACUGUCAUAUUCCUGACUUAGUACAACAUUUUCUUAAUAUGUUUAAAAUGGUGGAUAGAACCUGGUGUUAUAGCGCUGAACCUCUCACUUGUUCGACAGUAUUAGAUUUUCUUUUUUCAUAUAAUAUCAAUGCUAUUUCCCUAUUUUCCUUUACAGACCAAGGAUUUUUUUCUCCUUCAAUUGUACCCAGAAAAUGUCCUGGCUUUUAAGAAUGAAUAGUAUGUAUUCCACUCAACUAUUUGGUUCUCCAACUUAUUUAACAUUUAUACAUGUCAGUAGUGUUAAAGUAUUUGCUUAUAUAAAAGGUUGUUUUUUUAUCUAAAAUUGUAAUCUGAAAAUCUGUAAAACAACACUGUUAUUGAACUCGACCUAUAUACAUCAAAACGGCUUAUUCCUGUUGUAGAGAAUAAAUGUGAGUGUAAAUGAAAAUGGAUUGAAAAAAUUGUAAAUGAAGCACACCAUUGCAUUCUAAGAUUUAUACAUGAUGAUGAAUUUCUGUUCCAGUUUUUUUCCACAAUGGCUGGUGGACUGUAAGUUCAUAGAGAUAUCAUCAGCUCAGUGGUCUGUGUUUUGGUAUUGACAUGAUUAACAAUAGUUGUUUCUAAAAUCCUUCAUUACAAAUUAAAACUUCCUAAUACAAUGUUGACAUAAGAGAAAUUUUGCUAUUUUAGGUUUGACCGUUCGUGAUAAAGGUAAUUCCAGAAAAAAACGUUUAUGACGUCGAAAUUUAUGAAGAUCUCUUUUUAUUAAAUAUUUCAAAACAAUGUGUUAUCUUAAAUUUUCGAUACAGUCUACCGUUUAUUUAAUAAGAUUGCGGAGUAAAUCUAUUGUAUACUAAUUACGUAACAAUAACAUAGGGGUUUAGUCACAAAAUGAGAUUGGAAAUUGUAAUAACAAUAUAAUCUGGUAUAACUUAUUCCUAUACUCUUGUAGAAAUCUUGCAUCUUGAAGAUUUGAUAGAGACAAUUAUCAUUGCUUAUGACUGUAGCUCGUAUGCACAUUAAUGACAUUGUUGUACAUACAUGAUAAAUACUGUAGAAAAUGUAUUCAUUAUAAAUCACAGCGUAAAUUUUUAUGUCUGCUUUUUUAUUGCGAAGGGGCCAAAGUUAUCAACUUGUCAAGAUAAAAAUAAGGAGAUGUGUUACGAUUGCCAAUGAGCAAAUCCAUCACAGUUCAAAUGAAGUGGAUGUAAGCAACUAUACGGCCUUCAACAUCGAGAAAACCCAUACCGUAUAGUCCGCUGUUUUACUAUGGUUUUGUUAAUUCAAUCUACAUAGUUAUAGUCCAGUACUCGUAUUAAGGUCUACGGUUAACCACGAGGAACAGCUUUUUGUCCCUGUACAGAGCCAAACAACACUGAAAGAAAAUGUCAUAAUAUAGGAGACAUGAAAUGAAUUAGUUUUCACUUCCUUCCUACACACCAUUACAAAAGAACGAAUGACGCGUUAUUUUGAGCAUAAUAUGAAUGAUUGCAUUAUUUACAGGAAAUAAUUGCACAUCUAUUGUUGCUAUUGUUCGUAGACUGUGUGGAUUCAUGACAACUGUCCAUGUGAAAUCAAAUUACCAUGAAUAUGAUUAUGGUCGAUGAUAUUUGAAGCAGAUUAUUUUGGAUGUCAUAUUGAGUUUUCCAACGGACUGUAUUUUUGGUAAAGAUAACACUUACAUAUGUCAAUAAACAUUUUUCGUUUUGAACAAUCAUGGUAAAUAAAACAUAAAUCUAUUCUUUUAUUCUGAGGAAUAUGUUAUUGAUAAACAAAAACUACAACCUUAAACUAUUAUAAUAAGGCACUCUUCAAUUUCUCACUUGGAAAAAUGUAGUGCACGAAACUGCGAUCCAGGGUGUAACUUGUUCCAACUCCGCAGAAUUAUACAUAACAAAAGGAUAAUUUAAUAUUGGCUUAAACAAGUGUUAAAAUCUUUUAUUUAUUUCAAAGUAGUUUAGUUACAUAACAUUUUGUAUGCAUAUAUGUCUUACACUCGAAACAUUCUAACAAAUACAUUUAGCAAAAAAUAUAUUUAAGAAUUUCAAGGAGACUUUGUUGGCAAAUUAAGAUCUGUAAAUCUUUAGUUUGUGACCCGGAUUUGUUUUUUCUCUAUCGAUUUAUGAGUUUUGAACAUCGGUAUACUACUGUUGCCUUUAUAGGGACAUACAAUCGACCAAAAGCACAGUUCUAACAUUUUUCAUUUACUUAACGCCUUCUAAAGUGCAACUAUACGUAAAAUCUAUUUGACCAAGAUUUUAAACUAAAGCUAUGAUCCUAUACAAAAAUUACUUUUGUGUUACACGUUUCAUCUUUUCAACGGUCUUUUUUACUGGCAUUGAAACCACAAAGAGAUCAUUACCAAACAAUGCUUCAAGUUUGUUUAAGGAUGUUUCAUGCUAUUGGUUUUGACUUUUUGUUAGGUAUUCAGAAUUCUCUGGUUUUAUGUUGUGUCAUUUAAAAUUUUGAAUGCUAACCCCUUCAUUUCUUUUCAUAUAAAUUUAUUAUCAUAAAGUUAAAAAAACAUUUUUGAACAUUUCAUCAAAUCCUUGUUAUUUUUUUAAUGGAUUUUGAAAGAGAAAAUGUGCCAAUGUUAAAUUAUGAAAAAUCUAUAGAAAAUCAUUUCCCGACAAAUUUUCGAUGAUCUCCGAUGGCUUAUAUCUGAAAAAUGAGGACAAUGACCUAUAGUUUCGUUUUGCUUUUUAAGUUUCAUUAUUCAUAUGCUAUAAAUUAUUUAUAGUUUAUAAAAAAUCUUGUUAUUUUAAAACUUAUUAUAACGAACUUCCUAUAACAUUAAUGUAAGACAUAAGUUCUUGUAUUGAUAACGGUUGGAAAAACGGAUUAAAAUAUUACUUUAAUUUGAAACUUUCAUGAAUAUAAUAACUAAUGAAUGAAAUUUUCUUAAAUGAAAAACAAAUGGUCCAAAGCUAACAAAACAAAUUAAUAAAUACCCAUCUACAGUUACUUGUUCUCUAAUUCAUCUCUGAUGGUAGGGUUACUCCAUUGAUCAGAUACCGCGCUAUUCUGACAGGAAGAAAUUAGCACAGUUACACUUAAGGAUUGCAAAUUGACAUUCACAAGCUUUAUGAAGAUGAAUGUCAAUAUAAUGUUUUGUUUAUUUGUUUUUCUAAACAGUUUUACUGUAGGUUUUUUGUUCAACCUAUUUAUGUAAUGUAAGAUUUUGAGAAAAUAAUCAUUACAAGAGGCAAAAUCAUAUACACAUCCAACAAUUUUAAAGUGUGAAGAGAGUCAAUCAGCCUUAUAUGCCGUCUAACAUAGCAGCUCUAUCAUAUGAGUUACAAAUUGCUACUUCAGGCUUCAUCAAUGCUAUAAAACUAAAUAUUAGUGCUGGUACUGUACGAAAUACUUUUAGUGAUACUAUACUAUCCAAUUACUGUCUAAUAAACCUACAUAUGCUAAUAUUUCAUUCUUUAGGCUGUACGAGAACAAAAGAGUAAUAAAUCAAAUAGGUCCAUUCGACGAAGAAUUGCGGGAUUUUAUUUUUACUCCCACUUGAAUACUAGACUGUGUUGGUUGUGCCUAGAUAUAUAGAUGAAAGUAAUCUUUAACCUGUAGAGACCUAUGCACUUUCCCUAAACGAGGUUUUUGGUUUAAUGUCCCCAUUUCGACAAAACGUGGCCGAGUAUUUAUAUAUCCUGCAUAAUAAGACAGAAGCUCAAUACGUGGAAAUCGUUCUCAUAAGGCUAUUUAUUUGGAGAAGUAAAUGAAGUCUUUGGAUACAGACUAUGCGAAGUAAAGCAAUGUUACGUUUUUAUUUGGAGAAUAUUAGUGCUUCGAAGAGGCUCUUGGACGUUUUGCUACCAUAAACCAAGUAUAAAUUACUUCUGUGCUUAAGCUAUACUCACUCUGAAGUUAUUAUGUAUUUUGAUAACAGCAAAAUUUUUUAAGUUCAGUUCAGGACGUCUGUUUCUAUGUAAUUCAAUUUAGGUUUAUACAAGUACGUUUCCCCCAUUAUUUUAGUUUUUGUAUCAUUUUUAAUAAUACAUGGAUUAUCGCUUAUUCUUUAGGAUGGAAAGUACGAGCAACUUAACCCACAGAACAUCUGUAAAACACACGAUCUUAUAAUCAUUAUUGUGCUCCUUACCAUGGUUUAUCGUUCUAUCAAAACAUCGAAAUGCUUAAGUAGAAACAUCUUUUCAUACAUAGAGCUCUUUGCUAGACUGAUUAACAAAUUAGAAUUAUUAUGUUGAUGGUCAUUCUGGCGUUUAUAAUUUUUAUCUUAUGACCCAGAUUUGCAAUAAUGAUACAUAUCAUCUGUCUAUCUAAAAGAGGUCGUGUUUGUCUAUAUUUGUAGAUACAAAUGCUAUGUAUUCUAUUUAAUAAAUUUGUAACAAGAUAAACGUCGAUGAGAUAACAACCCUAACAACACAAGUUCACCAAAAUAGAACCCCAGAGGUCAGUCCCCGGUUCUCAGUGAUAGACAAGACUACAUACAAUCGAUUGCAAUCAUUUACUGUUCCAUUUUAUAUUUUGUGCAGUGUUGUAAUAAUAUCUCCCGCAUUGUAUAAACAAAGUUAUAUCUCAUGAAUUAGCAUUGGUUUAUAGACAACCUUCCUCUUAUCUAUCCUAGUGAUCCAUGCAUUGAAUUUUGAUAGUUGAAAUUAUUUUUGGUGUUUCUAGAUGCAAAAUGUUUUUUUGCCCUUAAUCUAGCAAACGCCCAGCUACAUAUAGUAUAUGCUGUACUUUGAGUUAUAUAGAAUAAACUUCUAUCCAGAACAUGAGAAGUCAGUUGAAAUUAAGGAUGUAUCUCCCUUAUGUAUUUUGAUUCCUUGCCCUGGUUUGGCUAUACUUUGGUUCCUUUAUUGUGUAAUUACAACUCUUCAGUGUUUGUAUUAGGAAAAUAUUAACCAGGCCAUUACCGAAGUCAUAAUUAAUCGAUUUGUGCAUCUGGUGCAGUAAAAUUGUUUUAUUUGGAUUUUAUAAAAAAAAAAUGCUCAUUAUAUCUUAUCGCAUGAAACUCAUGGAACAUCUGACCUGACUGAAUACAAGACAUUCACCUUCACCGAGUUUUUAAACGCAUUAUAUAUUUGAUACAUUGCAGAAAAUUUACAUUUCAUAAUGCUUGAUGCAUCAAGCGUUUUUUUUUUUUUUUUUAACUUUUAAUUCAUUGUUGUAUACGCUAUGGAAAUUAUUUACCAAAAGUUGGCCUAUUUGGUAAGAUUUUUAUUUUGGUAAAUAUUUUUUUAUAAAAACUCUAUUCUGAUGUACACCGAAUACUGUCAAUGUCAUUGAAUGAAAAACUGACCCAUAAGCGACAACAAAUCUGUCUUUACAACAAAUUUGACAACCAAUUGUCUGUUUGAGAUGUAUAAGUACAUAUUCACGUCCGGUCAUUAGAUAUAGGAAGAUGUGGUAUGGGUGCCAGUGAGACAACUCUUCAUCCAAGUCACAAUUUAUAAAAGUAAACCAUUAUAGGCUAAAGUACGGUCUUCAACACGGCUCACACCGAACAGCAAGCUAUAAAGGGCCCUAGAAAAUACUAGUGAAAAAACAUUCAAACGGGAAAAUCAACGGUAUAAUCUAUAUAUAAAAACAAGCAACGAGAAAUACUUAUGAACUAUUAGAUAAAGUUAACUAAAGUCAUUUAAAGAGAGAAUGGGUGUAAAAAUUCGUCAAACAAUAACACUUCCUUUUUACUGGGUCCUUAUCAAGUGGUAUUUAAAGUGGACAAAAAUCUUUUCGUAGUAAAAGUGCUUGUACGAAAGCAGAAAUCCGACAUUGAUGUGUUUUGUUCUGUCAUGACGACCCUCAGAUUUUUGUAAAUUUAUUAUUAGUACAGUACAAAUAUUGCAAUCAUUUCAAACCACUUAAAAUGAAUGAAUUUAUAGUUUUGCUUAAAAAUGCAUUGUUACUAAUUUUGUGUGAAAGAAACUCAUUGAAAGUGCUACUGAGCACUUCAUAAGUGUUCUUGUAAUAUACGAUAGGUAGUAUAAUUAGUUAACGGACGUCAAGGUUUUUUAUUAAUGCACACAGAUGAAGUCGUGAUCUUAUAACAUAUCAAACAGAUCAUAGACAUAGCUAUCUUUAUCUAGAGUAUCAGAAGAACACACACACGAAAUCUAUACUGGAGAUCAAAUUGUGAUGUAUUCUGGACUGUCCGUGAUAAGGAAACCUUUUGUAUCAGGUGUUGACAUCACAAAACGUGCAGACAUGUCGACUCGUUCUAUAAAGUAUACACGCGUGUCGAAUUAGACCUACAAAGUAUUUGUGUACAAUUUGGAGUUUAGUAUGGCGUUUAUUAAUCACUGAACUAGUAUAUAUUUGUUUAGGGACCAGCUGAAGGACGCCUCCGGGUGCGGGAGUUUCUCGCUGCAUUGAAGACCUGUUGGUGACCUUCUGUUGUUGUUUGUUCUAUGGUCGGGUUGUUGUCUCUUUGACACAUUCCCCAUUUCCAUUCUCAAAUUUAUUGUGGUAUAUUGUGUUCAUUGUCUUCCUAUUGUUAGUAGUUGUCAUUUUUUUCGAUUGAUGUAGACAGGCAGCGGUCGAGAUUUCUUUUAUAUAUACCAGCUUAGAAAAAUGUUAAAAGUAUUUUAGCUACUUUAACUCUUAUAAUUUGCUCUUUAGGGGACUAAUAUUGUAAAUAAUUAUACGUCAUCACGGAUCGCCCAAUAAUGGGACACUGAAUUCAUGUGCUUCAAUUGACUGGUAGGUUAAGGUUUUAAUAACUAUUUUUGAUAGAUGGAUCAAAACUGGGGUAACUUAAAUAAUAAUAAAAAAAAAGUAAAUAUUUAUUGAUUUAUUGACAAGGCCAUGUAAAUGCCCCCCCCCCCCUAAAAAAAAAAGCCGCAUGACCCUAUGCUUUGAUUGUUGCGAAAAAUGGGGCUGCAUUUGAACUUGAAUGAAAUAUGAAUGCUUCUAAUUUCUCAAGGUAAACUAUGUAUAAAUUUAAUUUAAAAAAUAGAUUUGCAUGCAGUCAAUGUAUUUUUUUUUAACUGAAGUUGUCCGUUUACGAAGAAGAUGAAAAGAGCUAGAUAUUUCUAUAUAUUAUGACAAAAACAUCGUGUAAUGAUAAACUUGGAGUUUAUCUGUAUUGUACUUUUGUUUAUCUUUAAUCAAGAUAGAAGUAUUUACGUGUAUUACUUAUGAAUGAAUGAAGGCGGUAUAUCUGAUCACUAUAGUUAACCAUUGCUUUAUACAAAUGACCGACACAACCUUAAAAUGCAAUCAUGUAUAUUAGUUUUUUUUUAUCUUGUGUAAAAAUUAUUAUGCGGCGGAAAUGGAAAUUGUAGUGAGUUUUUCAAAUUGCAGUUAAAUCUGUGGCGUAUUAACAAUAAUCAGUUGGGCUGCAUGUAAAAUGAAUAUAAACAUGCAACCUUCUGUCAAAUGUAUAUGACAGAAGAUUGACGUAUAUUAGGACAUUUGAAAUGGAUAGAAACCCGAUGUAAGUUAUAAUUUCAUAUAAGUUCAAGUACAAUGCAACAAACUUUAAAACAUUAUUGACUAUAUAGGCGAAGAAAACCGUUUUGAAAUCAUCUUCUAAUGUGCCUGUAUCAUCUGACAAUCUAGAACCUGUGUAAAUAAUAGGAAUACACAGUCGACAUGUCUUUUGUGAGUUGAGACACUGUAACAUAUGCAUCUAACAACAAAACCGUCAUGUGAUCUUAGAACUUAUGAAGUAAUGAUUCCUGUGCUUGUACUUUAUUGCCAUGUUGGAGUAUAUUUUGAAGUAUUGAAAAAAUCUCAUCAGACUGUAAUAUAUCUUCCACAAAAAUAUGCGUCUGAAUGAAUGUUAGCUUUUAUAUAUUUUUUUUUCUCUUUUUCUCCCACAAAUGCAGAUCGAACCGAUCCUGGGGGUAUUGCAAUACUAGGCUUUUUAUGAUACUUUUGUUUUAAAGAUCAUUCAAACUAAGUAUAUAUGUGCGUUUAAAAUCAAAGAAUGAGUAUCAUAAGCCAAAACACAUGUAUAUUUGAAUAUAGUCAUCAACAGCAAACAUUGACCUUUUCUUUAUACAUCUUUUUUUAUCAAAUAAAUCAGAUAUUGCAAAUCAACUUCAUCAACGAUUUAUAACAUUAAGUUGUUUUGUUUGUUCGGGUGUGCGUGCGUGCGUACAUGCAUUGAAAGUGGUAUUUAUAUAUCAACAAUUUGCAGGCGAUCCAUAGAACUUAUUCCAAUAUUUUAUGCAUUAACAACCUUAAUUAAUAUUACUCCCCACAUAUUCAAUGGUUUCAGAUACUAAUAACUUCUCUGUAGCCAUUGAAUGCUGGUUUUAUUCUAAAUUCAAUAAGUGGAAAAUUCUCAGUCGUCAUUGAUACAUUUUAAAUCUAGAUCUUUAUAAAUAUCGUAUAAUUUGAAAUUUGUUAAGCAACUAAAUAGCUGUUUUUCGAAUGAAAUUAAAAUAGUAAAUAAGGAAUAUAUAGCAUAUUUUAAAGGUAUCCUGCAGCGAUGGCGUUUUUUAUUCAUUAGAUAUUAUUGCAUUACAUAUUUAAUUUAUCAAUGUUGACGUUAUUAGAUAGUGAUUUCUUUUGCAUUCAGCCUAAUCAAUAACAGAAUGUUGAUGGAUGGCAGUGCGCUCGUUCUGACGUGGGGUGAGCAUUAGAUCUUACUCUCUUUGGAUCGAAAAUGAAAGAAGACAUUAUAGGUAAAUGAAUUGUACCAAAAAAAGGUCGUAUUCUCUGACUUCUUUUUGGAAGAUAACACAUUCUUAUAGGGUCGAACAAAGUUUAACUGUCAUUCUGGAUAUUUAUAACAAACUACAGAACUAAUUGAACAAUAUAAUCAUAGCUGAUAAUCCUGGUUUGUUAAUUUGUUAUUCUCUUUGAAUAAGAUUGUGUGUAAAUAUCCAGAGGCAAAUGACACAUUCAAACCUUUAUUGGAUGUGUUAAAAAUCAUGCAAGUUCAUGACCAUAUAAUACAGCGGCUGAUUUUUCCAUCUUCUUGUUUGUCAAUAUAUGGUGUAUGGUGUUUAUGCUCAGGUCUUUAAUAAUCUCUGUUGAAAUAAUUGGUUCGAAAAUAUUUAUUUCACUGGUUUAUUUUCCUCUGUAGUAUUUUUAAAAAGUGUUUGAUAAUUGGUAUGUCAAUUUCUUGAUAUCGCUAAGAUAUCGUUCAAAAAGGAACUCUCGCCGCGAUAUAGCCUUUUGCGCCGAUGCAAUGAUCAAUCAAUCAAUUAAUCUUUUUUUUUUCAAAUGAGUGUCUCUCUGAAAUGACUCGUUUUGUGUUACAUUCAAAUGUAUUCAAUGACAUUUACAUUUGCAUUUCGAUUUAUGAAUUUUGUGCAAACUUACAAAAUUUGCUUUCACAUAAUUGGUUUGGACAAUUUAAGAACGUAUUAAAAGAUCAAAGGUUUACAAGUGCAUUAGUUUACUUCCUUUUCUGGAGCUAAUUAUUCUUAGCCAUAUUGACAAAAGCCUGACAAAUUGUGUAGAUUUAAUUACAGCUGAAUUUGUUGUUAAGAAACAAUUUCAGUUUCUCGGUUAAAUUAUGUUAUUAUACUCAUACUAUAUAUACUUUGUGACUUUGGAAAAAAUGAAGUUUCUCUUUUUGUAAUUUGUACAAGUUAAUUAAAGACAAAUUUUAAAAGAGUUACACUCCAUUUGAGUACUUUAUUGCAAUAAUGUAGUGUAAAUCUAUGAAGAAUCAACUCAGUACAAAUUAAAAUCAGCGCAAGUGUAGAAUCUUUUGAGUGCGUUAGGAGUUUUGGUCUGUGUUAACGGCCUCAAUAGACAAAUUGUAACUUGAAUGAACAAAAAGCCAUAACAGAGAAAUUAGCCAUUUUUGCAUCUGUUUGAAUUAAUUUAUUUGUGACAAAAGAUACUCGAGAAGAAACACGUCAGGGUCCUGGUAGGAUUUGUGUAAACAUUUAGAUAUUGAUUUUUACCUGAUGAAAUUACCCCCGCAAUUUGAUAUUUGAGCGAUGUAGAUAAGACUUUCAAUUUAACUGUGAACAUGAAUAGCACAUAUGGUACUUGUUGUUCUUCCAAAAGUUAAUCUGUUCGUCUAUCAGGUGUGGGCGGAUAAUUAUAACUUAUAAUCAUCUUCAUCUAUAGACUUAUAUAGCCUGUUCAUUUUUAGUAGUAUAUAUCAUAUGUUAACCUUUUGUUGUUGUUAAGAUUGGUCAUGAAAUACAUCAUCUAUGUCAUAUGAUGUGAACAUUAAAAGUUUCCUAAUAAGGUAGAAACCCAAUAGGUUUUCUUGGCAGAGGGUUGCUUUGUAUUUAAGGCCUAUAUCAUCAUUUAGAUCAUUAUCUAUAAAGUUUAAAUCACAAGAGAUCAUUGAAAGAUGGUCAUUUGAACCUUACCUGUAAGCUUAUGCUUUUGAUCAAAGAGAGGACACUGUGAAUUACCAUUCAUUGAAGUCAUGAAAUAUGCAUAUGUUCUAUAUACCCUGCUGAAGCACUUCAACGUUCCGACUCAGAUUAUUUUGUCUUCACGCAUGUAUUUUUAGCUCACCUGGCCCGAAGGGCCAAGUGAGCUUUUCCCAUCACUUUGCGUCCGGCGUCCGUCGUCCUGCGUCCGUCGUUUCUCUGGCGAUCCCGUCGUCGUUAAGCUUUCUACAAAAAUCUUCUCGCCUCUGAAACUACUAGUCCAAAUUAUCAAACUUGGCCACCAUCAUCAUUCGGGGUAUCUAGUGUUAAAAAGAUGGUCGGUGACCCCCGCAAUCCAGACCAAGAGGCCGCAUGGCUAACAAAUAGAACAAGGGGUAACAUGCAGUUUUUGGCCUUAUACAAAUAACCACAAGCAUUUAGAGCAAAUCUGACGCACUGGGGUAAAAAACCUUGUUUAUAUCAAGUCAACGAUUAUCUGCACAGAAAAUAUUUCCAGAUUGUAAUUCGGACAGACCCGUUGAUUGCGUUGCCUGAGCCCCUAAGGUACAAUUUUUAGUCUAUGGUCACUGUUGGUUUGGGCUAUCUUGAAUAUUAUCACACUCCUCCAGAUAGAGAUAAACUGUAUAUCAGCCAUAACAUCAUGUGAGGCCUAAAGACUAAGAUUACCAAAUAUAAGUCAACUGACGAAUGGAAGUUGACCCAUUAAGGGAGUUAUUGCCCAGACGUUUGAAUAGUGCAAUUUUUAACCAAGCUUAUUAAUCAGUAAUCGUAUAGUAUACCUUUUCUUAACACAAGAAUAUCUUCUGACUGCUGAAACUACCUGGUUCUAUGAAAUUAAUAUCCAAGACUUGGAACACAAUCAUCUUUGGCGUAUGUAGUGUUAAAAAAUGUGGUCGGUGACCCGGCCUGCCAAUCCAAGAGUGGAUACUGUCCGUACGGACUAAAUUUUAGGACAUAUAAGGGGUAAAAUGCAUGUUUUUUGGCUUAAUAACUCAACAUUAAAUCAAAGCAUUAGAUGCAAAAUUCAUGAACACGUGUGGUAAAAUUGUUUCUCAGGUAAUGAUUCGAGUCUGCCCUAGUCGAUUUUCAAGAUGAAUCGGACAACACCGUUGAUAGGGUGGCUGCCCUCAUUGGUAAUUGAUUAUUGGCAAUUUGCUGUUUUUUGGGUUAUUAUCUAAUAUUAUUAUAGAUGAGAGAUAAACUGUAAAACAGCAAUAAGUCAGUACUUGCUUCAAAGUAAAGAUUUAAAAUAAGUCAACAUGACCGAAAUGGUCCAGUUGAUCGCCAUUAAUGGUUUAUGGAGCCUCUCUCACACUCACAAAAUCUUACCCUUUAUAGUCAUUUUUAAACACAUUUUCGUAAAUCUUAGUAAUUAUUAUACGCGAAUAAAAUCUUCUUCCUCUGAAUUACUGAGGCGUACACAUUAAUCCUAGACUGGCCCACAUAUCAAUCUGUGGUGGGUAAUUCUGGAGUUUUAAACCAUAAAUGUGUCCGGUGCCACCGGCAACUAUCCAAGAUACCGCACACGGCUAAAAAUAGAAACAUAGGGGUUAUAAUGCAGUUUUGGCUAAUAAAAAAAACAAAGCAUCUUAGAGGAAAUCUGAACAUGGAGUAAGAAUUGUUUAAACGGUAAGAUCUACAUGCUCUAAAGAUUUUUCAGAUGAAAUCGGAUAACCGUUGUUGCUUGCUGCCCUGAAUUAGUAUCUUUAAGGAAUUUUUGCAUGUUUUUGGUUAUUAUCUUGAAUAUAAUUAAGAAGCAACAUAGAUAAAAGGAGACAAACAGUAUAACGGAAUGAAGUGUUCGCCAAGUAAGAUUAUUACAAAUAAGAAUCAGCAUGACUGAAAAUGGACAGUUUUGACCCUUUAUAUUGCAGUUUCUAGUUGCCACUCUUAAGUCAUUUCUAUAUACUACCAUAAUUUCGUAAAUCUUAGUAAUAUUUUCAAAAAUCUUCUCCUCUGAAAUUACUGGGCAAAAUUAAUCUAAACUUGGCCACAAUCAUCUUUUGGGUUAGUAGUUUAAAAAAUGUGUCCGGUGACCCGGCCAUCAAAUUAAGAUGGCCGCCAUGGCUAAAAAUAGAACAUGGGGUAAAAUGCCGUUUUUGGCUUAUAACUCAAAACCCAAAGCAUUUAGAGCAAAUCUGACGGGGUAAAAUUGUUUAUCAGUUCAAGAUCUAUCUGCCCUGAAAUUUUCAGAUGAAUCGGACAACCCGUUGUUGGGUUGCUGGCCCUGAAUUAGUAAUUUUAAGGAAAUUUUGCUCUUUUUGGUUAUUAUCUUGAAUAUUAUUAUAGAUAGAGAUAAACUAUAAACAGCAAUAAUGUUCACCAAAGUAAGAUUUACAAAUAAGUCAACAUGACUGAAAUGGUCAGUUGAACCCUUUAGGAGUUAUUGCCCUCUAUAGUCAAUUUUUAAACCAUUUUUCUGUACAAUCUUAGUAAUCUUUACAAAAAUCUUCUCCUCUGAAACUACUGGCCAAAUAUCAAGACUUGGCCACAAAUUAUCUUUUGGGUUAGUAGUUUGAAAAAUGUGUCCGGUGACCCGGCCAUCCAACCAAGAUGGCCGCCAUGGCUAAAAAUAGAACAUGGGGUAAAAUGCAGUUUUUGGCUUAUAACUUAAAACCCAAAGCAUUAAGAGCAAAUCUGACAUGGGGUAAAAUUGUUUAUCAGGUCAACAUUUAUCUGCUCUGAAAUUUUUAGAUGAAUUGGACAACCCGUUGUUGGGUUGCUGACCCUGAAUUGUUAGUUUUAAGGAAAUUUUUCUGUUUUUGGUCAUUAUCUUGAAUAUUAUUAUUGAUAGAGAUAAACUGUAAACAACAAUAAUGUUCAGCAAAGUAAGAUUUACAAAUUAGUCAACAUGACCGAAAUCGGUUUUAAUUGAGCUCCUUAGUGACUUAAAUUGUUCUAUAAGGUCAUUUUUUAAAUAAUUUUCCAUAAGACAAGUUGUAAAUUUUUGACUUAACAGAUUUCCUACUGGAAACGUAAUAUGGGUAUUGGCCAAGAUUCAUUAUAGAUUAAGAAUAUUUAAGCAGUGUACUCAAGAUAUGUUCCGUAAAGUAAGAUGUACAAACACAUCACCAUCACCAAAACACAAUUUUGUCAUGAAUCCAUCUGCUUCCAUUAAUAUUCACAUAGACCAAGGUGAGCGACACAGGCUCUUUAGAGCCUCUAGUUUUUCUAAUGAUCGCCGUUUCUAUUAAAGUCGUUAGACUGUUAUUACAUGUAUAUUAUUAUCUAGUUCUGGCAUUCUCAAUGCAUUUAUCAAUCAUCUUAUUCGCUGUUGUUUUACAUCAACAUCCGUUAUAUUGUAAUGAUUGGGAUUUAGUCAAAAUAAAAUAGAAUCUUUUCAGAUGUACCACAUUUUGCAUCGGUUUCAGUCAUACUGAUAUUAUAAAACAUAUUUUUGAGAAGAUUGGAAAUUCGUGAUAUGUAUCAAAGGAUAACUGCGAAGUAAGUCUGGAGUUUGCUUAGUCUUCUCGAACCUCGAGUUAAUCCAAUUGAUAAGAUAGUCUGCCUUAAUUUCCUCAUAACGUAAAAAGUUCUAACAUGAAAACGACCUUAACCUAAUAAAUAUUGCUCCAUAUACUCUUUUUUUUCUCAUUUGGUUGACCAAAAACAGCUGCGGAAUGUAUUAUGACAAAAAAUCCAUCUUUAAUUAUGGUUCCAAUAAAAGUGCAAUUGCUGAUAGGCUUCCAAGAGAGACGACGCAAAAACACUAUCUCUCAGAAACUAAUUAUUUUCAAAGAAUAUGUUAAUUUAAAUUAAAUUAGAUUGUCUUGUCUUUUCUUCCAGCUGAUGUUUGGUUAAUAUCACAAUAAAAUUGAAGAAAAUCUAUAGGGGAGUAAAAUCAAACAAGUAAAGAGGCAAUAAUGCACAGCUAUAUAGUAUAAUUAUAAGCCUAUUAAAAUCAUACGUGUGUCAGUUAAGUUAUUUCCCCCUCACACAAGACAGCGUUUAACUUCGGCAACUUCGCGUUAUUUCUACCUAUGAAGAGUACUUUUUGAUAGUAUCAUUUUAAAAGCAGCUGUGAAUAAACAGGACUAAGCUUCAAAAAGUAUACUGUCUUUGGGUUUUAUUCAUAAUAGCCAAUACUCUGAACGUUUCUCAUGAUAAACAUUUGAGUAGGUUUUAUUUCGUAUGCUACUUUGUGAAUAAUUAGCCUGUGAUAUGCAAUACGUUUUGCAUUCUACCAGUUUAUUUGAUGAUCUUUCAAUUCUGUGAGCGUCUGAAAAGGCAAAUUUUGAUAUUGAUAAAAGGGAUAUGGGUUUGGGUCCCCGACCAGAUCUACCCAAAAACCAUAAAACUUGAAGCUGUUGCUUCUGAGCUAAUAAUCCGACAUGAAGGAGUAAAAGUUAAAUAAUGUAUCAAAGUAGGAUGACGUGUUUUUCUGCAGACUGUUAUUUUGUGAUGGCCUAGUUAACCAAGCAGGGGUUAUUUUCAUAUUGAUUUACAGCAGAAUGCAUUGAGUGCGUAGGUAAAGGUAAAAUCUUUGGUUAGCUUGCUUGUUAGCUGAACUGUGAAGUCAUUAUGAAUUAAGUAUACUAUCCUCUCUUUCGGAGAAAUUUAGUCUUAAAGGCAGAUAGAUUGAUUAUCUUUCGGACUAGUCUACUCUCAAUGGAGGGUCGUUGUCUUUUUAUUGAUGCACGAUUCAGUGAUUUUGUUGUAAGCAACGUUCUUAACGGAAAGUUUACAAUGGGAAAAAUUAAAUUCUCUGUUCGGUUCAUUUUCAAUUGAACCAAUGCAAUUGCUAGUUGGAAGUCAAAGAAGGAAGCAGACUGCUAUAUUUGUUGUAUCCCUUUCUUAAAAAUCUAUGGUAUAAAAUCAACAUACUAUUAUUACACGCAUACUAUGAUGACUAGUCUAAUCUUUUUUUGGAAUCUUUUUUGUUGAUUUUCUUUUAGAAAAAUCGUACAAAGAGAUACUGAACCUGUCGAUCUUUGCAAUCCGUAACUGGACAGCUGAGCAAAUUCCAAUUAAUUAUGAGUGGUGCUGAAUAUGUUGACACAUUAUAUCUGUUUCCAUAGAAGAAGAUAUAAUCUUACCUUUUUCAGUUGAUACUAAGUUUAUGUUGACACGAUUUUUCUGUCUACUGUCUAAAGAAAACGACAUUUUCUGUCCGAUAUAUGAGAUACUUAUUAUAUCUUCCUGCUUGAUCUUACUCAAUAAUUGUUGAUGUUUACUUUGUUAGUGUAUCGUAUUAUAGACCAAAGCAGUAACUUCCUAUCUAGUCUUUCUAGUAAAGAAUGUAUUACAGGAAAUCCUGACACUAUUGAAUUAGAUGACACCAAUACAUAGAAAUUACCCGGUAUGUGAGCUGUAGAUGCAAUGAGAAGCUUAUCUAUUUAGUUUCAUUUCUUAGUCAAUGGAAAUUUUUUACUAUGUUAUUUUAUGACAAACAAAACUCAGAUUUGUCACCAUAGGAAAAACAACUGAGAUGGUUGAACAAUUUCAUCGUUUGUAUCAAUAUUUUUUAUUUAUUAGGUUGAGGGCGUUCGACCAAAAUCAAAUGCUCGGUUUUAUCGCGAGGAACAGCAAGCAUACUAAAAAAUACUCUUAAUUUUUAUCACAAAAGCACACAUAAAAUGCAACUAUAAAAGAGAAAAGCAGCGUUUUUUCUUUGUAUUGUAGCUGAAACAUAUGUUUAAAUAAGACAUGAGUUAAUUGUCUGCUCGAUGUCAUCAGAAGACAUUCGAAUAACUUCUGAUCACAUGCUUGAAUACAAAUACAAUAAUAUGCUGUCAGAUUGCUCAGACUAGAAUCAGAAGGUUUACAAAGCGUGAGAUAUAGGAUUGGUGAUAUAAAUUGUUUAAAUAUUCUACAGGCUGUUGUUCUUAGCCUUUCUAACAUUAACAACUGUUCGUUAAACAGUACUAAUUUAACUCUCCUCUCUAUAAUAUCGGAUUUGUUAAAUUAAUGUACAGAGUGUUAUAUAACAGAAAAUAUUGAAUAAGGCUGAAGGAUUUAAAAGUAUUUCUGAUUCCGAAUACCCGUUAUCUUUUUGAGGAAUAAAGAUUAAGGCCACUAGUUUUUGUUGGUUACUGUUAAGCUCGUAUUUGAGAUAAACUACUGCGUAUUCCAAUAAGGACCCAACGAAAAUAUCUCAUUACCAGUUAUGAAUUGCAGCUAAUGGCAAAACUUCACCAAGUUCAAACAAAGGUAUUAAAUCAUAAAAAGUAUUGUCUAAUCUUACUUUUACUUUUUCAAUGUUGAAAAUGACUGAUUUUUCAUUUUUUUUGGUACACGAUUUCUUUUUUUUUUUUUUUGGGGGGGGGGGGGGGAAUCUUCAAAUGAAAAUAUAUGAAAAACGACUUUACCGUUAAUAAUUUCCUUUCUUUGUAAGUGAGUUAUUUUAGCUACUGCUAUUUUGCGAUGUAUUCAUUUCGAGUGAGUUAUUUUAUGCACCACUUUAAAGAAGAUUUGAUGUCAAGUAGCACUCCCUUUCUUUUAUAUACGUCAAUUGAUUUACAGUUUAUAGUUUAUCGGGACUCUAUUUGCUUCAGUAUAUUUUUGUCUUUCCCCAUUUAUAUUUAUCCCGAAAUAUUUUAGAGCUAUAUACAACUUCAUGGAGAGUGUGCAUAGUUUAUUAAAGGUAUGAUCAAUUCUGAUCAGGCUGGACGAUGUGUUUUCACAUUUCUUCGGAAUGAAACUGCAGCGCUAGCCAGUCCAUUUUUGAAAAAUGUAUUCAAUAUAUCUUUUGGUAUUUCACUUAAAAAUAAUAAAAAGCAGGAUAGUAGUGUUCUCAAAACUUAUUUUUCCACUACCACAUGCAAACAUAACUAAAUAUAUGAAGAUGUGGUAUACGUACCUCCAUCCAAGUCACAAUUUGUAAAAGUAAAACAUUAUAGGUCAAAGAUUUUUUCAAUCUUUAGAAGAAGUAAGUGGUGGCAGAUAUUUGGUAGACUAUAUUUUUAUUCAUCAACUUACGAUUAAGAAAUUUAUUGUAGUUUUGAACAGUAUUUAAAUUGAUCUAUGUUUUACACAUGUGUUGUGUUGUUGGUUAUUCGUCUCAAUGACAAUUAGUACACGUAUCGGAAUUCUUGGGUGAUGCUCUCAUUGUUCAUUUAUAAUAUUUUUGACUAAAUGUGCUCAUUGAGACAUUUUUAAAUGAGGAAUCAAUUCUACGGAUAUAUUGUUAAUAAUAUAUUACUUGACUAGUAAAUUGAUCUGAUAAGAAUUAUUUGAUCGUGACUGGAAAGUAAAAUUCAUGAGAUUAUGCAAUUUUAACGAACUCCCGGAAAGAACUUCAACGCACUGAAUAAUAACUGGCCUUUGAAAAUUAAGAUGCUUAAGAUUUAAAUACACAUAUAAUAAGGAACUAUCCUUGCCCUUGUUCAUAAGGAUGCUCAUUAGCAUUUUUAUUACAGAAAUGAUAAUGAAAUCGAUGAUUGUUUUGAAAUAAAUACAAAAUAAUACAUUCCUAUUAUAAUACUGCAUAUAUUUAUUUUCUAUAAUAUAUAGUGCAAAAUACCAAUAUAAGAUCAAAUCGAUAAUUCCACACCAGUUUUGACAAUACUGUCCAUGUAGAGCAAAUAAGACGGAAGGGAGACAAGAAAAGAAAAUGUACGCGGCAACAAAUGAACAACGUUAUUUCACGUUCGGUUAAGAUGGCUAUUUGAAGUUUCUGUCAGAAGUGCAGUAUUUUUGUUAUUUUAAAUUUUAAAGAGAGUGAGUCAAAUUGGUCGAAAACAAAUGGGGGGUCCCGGACCAUUUAAGUUCGGAAUAUUGCUAAUAAACAGGUAUGUAAAAGGGACUCUUAAUUUUAUUUUAUUUGUUAUAUAUGGGUACAUGAAGCAAAGGCUGUUUAACAAAAAAAAGUCCUGAAAAUUAGUUGGUUGUAACAAAAAAAAUGCCGUUUCAAACACUCGCACCCUUUAAAGUAUUAUUCCCGUUCCAUUGCUCAUAUAAAACAAAGCAAAAUCACAUGUUUCAGGAUCAGAGAGAAAGUAAGUUGCCUUACUAUGAACUAUGUGUUCAACAGAACUCUCGAUUAUGCUGUUUCCUGAGGAAUUUGUAAUGUUUUCCGAGGAAUUUGUAAAAUAUUUUUGCAAAAUUGUUUAUUUUGAAAUGGUAAAAUAAUUAAUGAUAUUUAAAACUUGUUCGUAUCAAAAUCAGAUAUUGUAAGAGAUUGAUAUAUAUAUUUAAAAGUACAUCAAUAUACUUAAUAAUGUAAACACGUUGUAGAUAUUAUGAGUUAUUAGAUCACGAAUUCGAUAUUUCGAUCGAUCUUUGGCCUUUACAAGAAUCUGUGCAGACAAAGAAGAUUAAACAAUUCGACAUUUAGAUGUAUAUUAAUUAAGAUAAGCUACAUUACCCUGAGAAUAAAGACGAUGUCUGUUAAUGAACCUAACACGAAUUAAAGGGUUCACUUGAGCAAUAUAAUGAUAGUUUGGGUUUUCUGCAUUCCAUUUUGUUUGUAUCACUGUGGUGAUCGGAAGGAAGAAAAAACGGAUGAAUUGCAAAAAUUAUUGAAAUAUAUGCGGGGUAGUUGUUACAAUAUUCGGUAUUGCUAAGAUUUGUAAACACGAUGUACGAACGUCCUCUCAACCAAACUUUUACAUAUGUAUCAUUUUAGGUUAAAGAAUAUAUUUAGAGGUUAGAAGAGUGUUUUUCUGUUCUAAUAACUGAUACUUCCGCAAGGACAAGGAAUUUGUUACAAAAGCCAUGACGUUGUCAGUGUAUUUUCGACUGAUAUGAGAUUUAAUGUAUCUCUUGCCUCUUUCAAAAAAUUUUUUUUUAAGUCUACACCUCAGCUUUAAGAUAUUUGGAACAAAUGGAUAUAAGUAGUAUGAAAUUCAAAACAGUGUAGCUGUGGCCAUUGAUUGACACAUUAAAAUCAUUCAUUGACUGGGACAAUUUAGGUGAACGUUUGUAUGUAACGACCAAUGCUCACUAUGUACUUUUUAAAGACACUUAAACUAUGGGGUCACCGAAGGUUCUCAACACCUAAAUAAAGUAAUUCGAAAAAUUAAUCAGAAAUAACACGAUAUUUUGAUUUAUAUCAAUUAUAUAAAUCAAAACACAAAGGUUAUUCCUGAUUAAUUUUUCGAAUUAUUUUAUAAUUGAAGGCGUUAAGAAACCUUUGUUGACCCCACAGUUUAAAUGUCUAUCGUAGGUACGUCAUGAACAGUGGUUGUUACAGACAAACGUUCACGUAAAUUGUCCCAGUCAAUGGAUGAUUUUGAUGGGUCAAUCAAUGGCCACAGCUACACUGUUUUGAAUUUCAUACUAUAUUAAUAACUUGCCUCGGCUUGGGCAACUGUCUAUAUCUUGUUCUAUGGAUUGCGGGCCCGUGCACUCUUAAAGACGUAUGAUUUGUUUUGAUGUCAAAUGAUGUUUGACGUUUUCAUCUCCAUUUCGUUUUAUUUAUUUUUGUUCGUUUUAGAAUUCCAGACAGAAACAAAUUCCAAAUCAAACGUUCUAUUAGAAUUUUACUUUAAUUGUCCGGUUAAAGAGACGUUUGAAUUCCAUUUUUUUAUGUUUGACAAUGGAUACAGGUUCUAUUAUUAUCACUCUUGUCACCUUUAAUGGCCUGUCCCAUUUACACCAAUUAAUUGAAUUUUGAUAUUAACAAAACUAUUCGUAUGGCCAAUACGUCAUUAUUUUGCUUUUACGUAUUUUAACAAAGCAACACCUGAUUGAGAUUAGAUGAUAAUUUGAAAUCCUAGAGAACAACAUAAGAUAAACGAGCCUACAUUGAUUUUGAAGUUGUUUUAGUGUCAAUCUUCCAUAUCGACAAAUUGGUGGUAAAACGUUCAAAACUAGAUAACAUAUUUUCCGUUUAAUUUUAUUGAUAAGAUUAAUAUUCAAGACCGUCAUAUGCUGCUAAUGACGUUUUUAUCGGCUACAUUAGAGUAGAACGAGUAACGCGUUAGUUCUCUCGAUUGUUUAUUAUCUUUGUUACCUUGGAAAAAGUUCUCUUCGCAUUUGACCCGUUUCAUAUUGUAUAUCUAUGGUUUGAUAUUUUUUUCUUCACCUUUAUAUAUGGAACAUGAUAGGAUUAAGUUAUCCGACCAUAAUGAAGGUUGGUGAUUUGUGUUUCACGAUCUAUUCGUAAAACAUUGCCAAUGUUUAAAAAAAAGUAAUAAGAUCCUAAAGGGGACAAUAUUAAAUCACAAGUUACAGAUAAACAAACAAAACAACGGACAAAUUGAAAAAUGACAAAAAGACACAAAGUAAAGACUGAGGAACACGAGACCCGCCAAGAAUUGAAACUGAACUCUGCAGUUGCUAAGGAAGAAAAAGCAUAUUCUGCUCCACUAGCGACACUCGUCGUGUUGAUAAUACAAACAAGAACUUUGGAUAUAAGUCGCAUUUGGUGAUGUCAUAAUUAAGGAAAAGGUUGAAUUGUGGUGCAAAAAUGGAACAUAUUCAUGGUCUUCUGUGACAUCUAUACUAUAACUGUCAACCGAAUCAUAAUGGUGUCCUUUAAAAUUAAGAAGACAUGUCUCCAACAGACCAAUUGGAAUCCUUAGUUCAAUUGUUUCAUUGUAGUAUACACUAUCAUUGCCCUCUAAACAGUAAUUUCAAUGAAUUUAUAAAUAAUAUGAAGCUGAAUGAGUAUAGGAACAUAUUCUCCUAUAAUCAAAAGAAUAAACACUACGAUGAUGCUAAUUGCUAUUGUAGUGUUCAUUGUUUACACUAUCUGAUGAAGCUAUCAUAGAAAAAUAUUGAUGUCUACAACACUGAAUAUUUAGUUGUCUUAUCAAGGCUCAAAUUUUACAGACAAGCGAAUUAAUUUGUGUCCUUUAACAGAUUGCGUAAACUUUUGCUUAAAAGAAUCUUUUAUAAAAAAAAAGGUAUGCAAAGUGUUUAAAAACUUGUCACACUACUUUGUAUUUUCUUAUUCCAGGCAUAGAUAACUUAAGCCGUAUUUGGCACCACUUUUUGGAAUAUUGGGUCGUCAAUGCUAUUCACAACUUUGUACUUGUUUUGCUUUAUAACUAUUUUUAUCUGAGCAUAACUGAUUAGUCUUAUUUAGACGAAACGCGCGUCUGGCGUAUUAAAUUAUAAGUCUGGUACCUUUGAUAACUGUUAAAUGUUAAGGCACUUGGCUAGCUGUAGUCGUUCGAGCAGCGAAAGUCUCUUUAUUUUAGGACUUAAGCUGUCGUAAAGCUGUUCAUAUUUUGACGAAUUUUACAAAUUCCACCAAGUCAAAGAUUCUUCUUUAGUGAUAACGUUCUUUUAUUUAGUAACCAAAACGAAUGGAAAUAGGCUUUGAUUGGUAGUUGGGUCACUGGCAAUCAUACCACAUCUACAUGUUGUUUAUAUUGUUUAUAUUGUAAUGGUACUGACUACUAAAUCUCUUUGGCAACACGAAGUCUAACUACAACGAAGAUAACAAUUAGGUAAAUGCAUUGACAUAAAGAGUAGAUAUAUGUUUUUGAAGGUCAAUUGAGUUCCAUUUCUGAUUCCACUACGUAUAAGAUUUUUAAGAUCAUUGUUUGCAAAGUACUUUUUGCGUCUCUGUAUUCUUAAGCUAAUUAGAACGAAAGUUCUUUCCUCUAAUUGUUUGUGAAGAGGUAAUUGUCAAGAUUUUGAUACAUCAGGAUGAUUGAAAAAAGUUCUGAUUCGUUUAUUUUUUUUCGAUGAUAGCAUCUGAAUUAAUGGGUUUUGAAUUAGUUAGUUCCAAUUGUCUGCGAGUUAAUAAUACAGUGCACUAGAAUUUACGAUUUGCUCUCAAGAAUUCUUUAGUGCUGUUGAUUUCUAGCUCUUGGUACCAUCUGCCAAUUGACAUUUCUAGGAAAUAACUAGUUCUUGUGAAUUAUCUUCUCAUCUUGUCUUUACUGUUAUUAAAAUUAUACUUUUGAUGUUUAGAAUACUUGGUAUUAGCCAUAUCUAAUGCUAUAUAGUUACUAUUGAUAGUUACGUAAUAUAAAUUGUCCUUGCAUUGAUUGACUUUAGAUGGUCGUAAUUACAUGAGUGAUAUGGCAUGUUGAAUAGUAUUAAGUUUUGUCAAUGAAUUAAAACGUCUAUUUUAUAGUCGUUGUGAUUUAAAGUAAAACGUGUGCCAUGCUUAGUUAUUGUAAGAUGUAAACUUGUACACGAUAUAUUUUUGAAAAUAGAUAUGAUCAGAUAUGUACUGUGUUUUUAUGCAUAAAAUCCUAUACCCGUCUUUUUCAAUCUUCAGUUCAAAUACGACAGUUUAACUUCCUUGUAGCUUCGACAAUUGCUUUUAAAUAUUUAUAUUAUUCAUAAAUCGUACUGAUUGAUUUAUCUUAAGUUUCUUUAAAGUGCAGUGACAUAUAUUUCGUGCAUAAUUAAGACAAGAAACUUUAAGACCAAAAAAUGAGUUGAUCCGAAUAUGUUAACUGUCACAGUGAAAGUUCCUGGUGAACAUGAAUCUGGAUAAGUCGACGGACUUAAUUUAAACUAUGUGUGAAAUGUCUCCCCAAUCUAUACACCGUUGAUGCUGAUGAUAGUAUUUACAACAUUUUGCAUAACUUUAUGUCUUUGUCAUAAUAUUUAUAUAAUGAAAACGAAUCAAUUUAAUUCCCUUUCGUUCUUAUGUGACAAAAAAAGCAUCCCCCCAUGAAUAGCAAUUUAUUUCCCCCACAAAUUGACAGCAAUUUAUGAAAAUGAACUUAAUUUGUACUCUUUAGGUAUUGCAAUCUAACUUUUAUAAAAUUGAUGUAUUAAGCUAGUGGUAUUUCUUUUUUUAACAAUAGUCAGAUAACAUUCCCACCACAUUGACUAACUCAGUAUCACUCAUCACAAUGAUUAAACUUUUAAAUUGUUGCCCAGUUCCUUACAUUUUUCACCCCCAAAAUGCUAUCUGUAAAUUCCUAUCACUGUUAUUUACAUUAAGAAAUUCUUCUUAGAAUAUCAAAAAUAAUCUAAUGAUUUGGAUGAAAUGAAAUUCAUGUCAUUAUUUGAGUAUUAAAAACAACAACAAAAAGUUUUCCAAUUUACGACCGAUUUUUGGUGGAACACGAUAUCUUUACCCAAAAUCAUAAAUGUAUAUCUCUCAACAACACCUUCACAAAAGAGUUUAAUAAGAACGUUGUACAGGUGCUAUUUUAAUGGCUAAACCUUCUGUAAGGAUAAUUUUUUUAUAUAGUUUUGAUGCAUCAUGUGCCUUGAAUUUAACGCCACAUUCAUACUCUGGGAUGACUACAUAUGUGUUUCUACAUCCCACACAGUUGUACUACAUCUUCCCUGGUUCUCAGACCUGAAUUUACUUCAGAGUUAGUCAAGGUUGUCAUAUUUUAUAAUUAAGAAACCAAUGAUGUGUAAGUCUCUUACAUUUUAUGAUAAAUUUUGUUAUUAAAGAUGAUGUGAAUACGAACUCUCCAGUCACUCAAUGGAUACUGUUGUACCUUUCUUUUUGCUUAUAAAAUUAAACAAAACUACAAUUUCAUAUGAAUAAGUGUUCUUUUAGUAUUGCACUCACCCAAUGGAUACUUUUGUACCGUUUUCUUUAUGCAUGUCAAAUUAAACAAAACUACUAGUAAUGUCAUAUGAUAGUGCUCGUUUAGUAUUGCUAUUUAUGAUGGUAAAUUGUUGUCAAAGAGCUGAAUGGCAUUUGUUGCAAUCGUUUAUAAGACUGAAUUGAGAUUGUUUUGAUGAUCAGAUCUUUUUCUUAGUGAUUCUUAGUAUAAAAUGUAUUUAAUAUUCAUUGAAAUGGGUAUAUCAGGUUUAAAUAUUCUCCGAGUAUAACUAUAAGGUUGUUCUAGUCCAUGUCAUUGUAAAUUCUGAAGUAUGGCGCCAUAGACAAAGCUGGCAUUGCCGACGGCUAAAUAAGGCUGUUUUUAUAUGUAUAUAUGAAUUAUAGUCAUUUCAAAAGUUAAGAUUCUGAUAUGUCUAUAAGAAACGAUCAAUCGUUUUGCCAAAUAUUUGUAGAAAUGAUUUUAUCUGAAUAUUGUUUUGGUCCUGUAUAUCAGAAAAAGCUUUUGGGAAUAUAUGAUUGGUCAAAUCCAUUAGAUCUUUCAGUAAAUGUUUUUUAAUGCGUUAUUGGAGCAAAUUGCUAUACUAAGCAGUUUUUUACUAAAACUGUUACCAUUCAAAACGUCAGAUCAAUGUCAGUUAAGCAGUAUAGUUUUCAAUUUGAUAGACCAUUAUUAGAAAUAAAAGACUAUUUACCAAGCUUUAAUUACCUGCACGAAAUGUCAGAUUAUUCUUAGUACCAACCUGUUUUCAUUUAUCGGAUAUAUGUGACUUUCUUUUCUAAGUUAAUAUUUGUUCUGUUUUCAUUCGAGAUUUAAUAGCAUCUUUCUAUUAUUCCUAAAACUUGGAUGUUCUUCGUAUUUGAACGGUCAGCUACAUCUGAAUUUCUUUUGCUUUUGACGAGUGCUUAUUGGGUUACUAAUUUUUCUUUCAAAGACUUUGUAACAUCUUUCUUUUAAGAUAGAAAAUCAAAUUCAUGGGACGAUUUGAGCUUGUUGGGAAAUGUAAGUAAAAGUUUUGAUAACACAAUCUUUUGAAACAAAUAUAUAUUGUCAUGGACAAUUUGAUACUGGGUAAACUUUGGAUGUGGUGGAUUUCAGUCAAUUGUCAUGUCGUUUAUCAAUUGAAAUUCUGUUUUCAAGUUAUAAUAAUUCAUACUAAUACUUUCUAUGCUGGGAAAAAAUGUAUAAACAGUUCAGUAGAUGACAUAAUUCUAUUGGUUUAGAAAGAAAAAAAAUAAGGAAGCAUUUUGUUAAAAAGUAUGUGCAGUAUUACAUCAACAAUAACAGAAUGCAAUUGAGAAAUUAAAAUAACGUGCAGCGGUUGUUAUGAUUUCAAUUAAUUUCUAAGAAACAUUGCUGCCAAACCAAUCAUAAAAUUUGUAUUUGUUGAGUUUGUUAUCUUGGCUUGAUGUUAUUUCUAACGUCAAAUCUUGGAAUGAUAUUACCUGAUAUUGCAGUCAUUAUUGAUCACUAAUCAUUUGAUUUUUUACUUCUAGGUUUGAAGUCCACAACUUGAAUCUGUUUAACAAACUUUAAUUAGAAGGAUGAAAAUAAGCCCUGGAGAAUUACACUUUAUGAUGCAUGGAUUCAAUCAUGACAAAAAUUCUUUUCGUUUUCAUAUGGAUUAAUAGGAAGCAAACUAUUUUUUAAUGUGACAUUUUCAUUCACUACAUACACUAAGUCACUUGUAGGUAAGUUGAAAAUCUCCG